rnacentral:rRNA from 1 species
UACGGGGGGGGCAAGCGUUGUUCGGAAUUACUGGGCGUAAAGGGCGCGUAGGCGGUUCGCUAAGUUGGAUGUGAAAACUCUGGGCUUAACCCAGAGCCUGCAUCCAAAACUGGCGAACUGGAGUACUGGAGGGGAAAGCGGAAUUCCUGGUGUAGCGGUGAAAUGCGUAGAUAUCAGGAGGAACACCGGUGGCGAAGGCGGCUUUCUGGACAGUAACUGACGCUGAGGCGCGAAAGCAUGGGGAGCGAACAGG